UGGGGAAUAUUGCACAAUGGGGGGAAACCCUGAUGCAGCGAUGCCGCGUGGAGGAAGAAGGUUUUCGGAUUGUAAACUCCUGUCUUAAAGGACGAAAAGAUGACGGUACUUUAGGAGGAAGCUCCGGCUAACUACGUGCCAGCAGCCGCGGUAAUACGUAGGGAGCGAGCGUUGUCCGGAAUUACUGGGUGUAAAGGGAGCGUAGGCGGGAUUGCAAGUCAGAUGUGAAACUAUGGGCUUAACCCAUAGACUGCAUUUGAAACUGUAGUUCUUGAGUGAAGUAGAGGUAAGCGGAAUUCCUGGUGUAGCGGUGAAAUGCGUAGAUAUCAGGAGGAACAUCGGUGGCGAAGGCGGCU
rnacentral:rRNA from 1 species